rnacentral:tRNA from 1 species
CGGGACAUGGCUCAGUCUGGUAGAGUACAGCGUUCGGGACGCUGGGGUCGCAGGUUCAAAUCCUGCUGUCCCGACCA